AUGGCAUCACCCAUCGGCGUCUGUGACCGGCGGGAGGCAAGGUUGUGCGCAGUGACCGGCGGGCGGGGGUUCAUGGCGAGGCACUUGGUGGCGGCGCUGCUCUGCUCCGGCGAGUGGCGGGUGCGGAUCAUCGACCUCGCCCCUGCGGCCACUCUUGAACCUGCCGAGGAGGAGGGGAUCCUCGGCGCUGCCCUCCGGGACGGCCUUGCUGUGUACACCUCCGCCGACGUCUGCGACCUAGCCCAGCUUACCCAAGCUUUCGAAGGGGUAGAAACUGUUUUCCAUACGGCUGCGCCUGAUCCUAGCAAGAACGACUUCCAGCUUCACUACAAGGUCAGCGUCGAGGGGACGAAGAAUGUCAUCGAAGCUUGUACCACAUGCAAGGUUAAAAGGCUCAUAUACACUAGUUCGAGCUGUGUUGUAUUCGAUGGAGUGCACGGCCUCUUUGACGUGGAUGAAUCAACGCCAUAUCCAGAUAAGUUUCCCGACGCAUACUUACAUACUAAGGCAGAAGCUGAGAAGCUAGUGAUGAGGGCCAACACAAACGGUGGCCUUCUCACUUGUUGUAUACGUCCCAGUUCCAUUUUUGGUCCUGGGGGUAUAUUGGUGCCAUAUUUAGCUGCUUAUGCAGCAACGAUGUUCAUUAUUGGUGAUGGCAAGAAUGAUGAUGAUUUUGUGUAUGUUGAGAACGUUGUGCACGGUCACAUUUGUGCUGAGAGAAAUCUCUCUACAAAAGAGGGUGCAAGGAGAAUUGGAGGCAAAGCUUACUUUAUAACGAAUACAGAGCCAAUGAAUUUAUGGGACUUUAAAUAUAUGGUUUUGGAAGAACUUGGAUACAAAAGUGGGCCCAAAAUAAGAAUACCUUCCUAUCUUCUGGUGCCAAUAGCAUAUGUGCUAGACUGGGGCUACAGUAAACUAUUCUCUCACUACGGAAUGUGUCAACCUCGUAUGCUAACACUCACAAAUAUUAAGUAUCUUACGUUGAAUCGAACAUUUAGUUGCAACAAAGCUACUCAGGAACUUGGUUACAAACCAAUCAUCUCUCUCCAGGAGGGUGUCAAGGCAACUAUUGAACACUAUCAUGACUUAAGAGCAUGA
rnacentral:rRNA from 1 species